AGAGUUUGAUCCUGGCUCAGAACGAACGCUGGCGGCAGGCUUAACACAUGCAAGUCGAACGAUGUAGCAAUACAUAGUGGCGCACGGGUGAGUAACGCGUGGGAAUAUACCUUAUAGUGGGGAAUAACUUUGGGAAACUAAAGCUAAUACCGCAUACGCCCGAGAGGGGAAAGAUUUAUCGCUAUAAGAUUAGCCCGCGUGAGAUUAGGUAGUUGGUGGGGUAAUGGUCUACCAAGCCUACGAUCUCUAGCUGGUCUGAGAGGAUGAUCAGCCACACUGGAACUGAGACACGGUCCAGACUCCUACGGGAGGCAGCAGUGGGGAAUAUUGGGCAAUGGAGGAAACUCUGACCCAGCCAUGCCGCGUGAAUGAUGAAGGCCUUAGGGUUGUAAAGUUCUUUCGCCGAUGAAGAUAAUGACGGUAGUCGGAGAAGAAGCCCCGGCUAACUUCGUGCCAGCAGCCGCGGUAAUACGAAGGGGGCUAGCGUUGUUCGGAAUUACUGGGCGUAAAGCGAGCGUAGGUUGCUCGAUAAGUCAGUGGUGAAAGCCCAGAGCUCAACUCUGGAACUGCCAUUGAAACUGUCGAGCUGGAAUCUCAGAGGGGGUAGCGGAAUUCCAAAUGUAGGGGUGAAAUCCGUAGAUAUUUGGAGGAACACCGGUGGCGAAGGCGGCUACCUGGAUGAGUAUUGACACUGAGGCUCGAAAGCGUGGGGAUCAAACAGGAUUAGAUACCCCGGUAGUCC
rnacentral:rRNA from 1 species